UUUGAAAUCUGGCCCCCUCCGCGGGGGUCCGAGUUGUAAUUUGCAGAGGAUGCUUCUGGCGCGGCGCCUUCCGAGUUCCCUGGAACGGGACGCCACAGAGGGUGAGAGCCCCGUCCGGUCGGACGCCCAGCCUAUGUGAAGCACCUUCGACGAGUCGGGUAGUUUGGGAAUGCUGCCCUAAAUGGGAGGUAUAUGUCUUCUAAAGCUAAAUACCGGCCAGAGACCGAUAGCGCACAAGUAGAGUGAUCGAAAGAUGAAAAGCACUUUGAAAAGAGGGUUAAACAGUACGUGAAAUUGUUGAAAGGGAAGCGCUCAUGACCAGACUUGGGCCCGGGGGAUCACCCGGCGUUCUUUCGCCGGGGCACUUCGCCGGCUGCCCAGGCCAGCAUCAGUUCGCGGCGGGGGACAAAGGCUUCGGGAACGUGGCUCCCUACGGGGAGUGUUAUAGCCCGCUGCGCAAUGCCCUGCCGCGGACUGAGGUUCGCGCUUCCGCAAGGAUGCUGGCGUAAUGGUCAUCAGCGACCCGUCUUGAAACACGGACCAAGGAGUCGUCUUCGUAUGCGAGUGUUCGGGUGUCAAACCCCUACGCGGAAUGAAAGUGAACGCAGGUGAGAGCUUCGGCGCAUCACCGACCGAUCCUGAUGUUCUCGGAUGGAUUUGAGUAAGAGCAUACGGGGCCGGACCCGAAAGAAGGUGAACUAUGCCUGUAUAGGGUGAAGCCAGAGGAAACUCUGGUGGAGGCUCGCAGCGGU
rnacentral:rRNA from 1 species